rnacentral:rRNA from 1 species
CGGCGAGCGAAGCGGGAAGAGCUCAAAUUUGUAAUCUGGCGUCCUCCGGGCGUCCGAGUUGUAAUCUAUAGAGACGUUUUCCGUGCCGGACCGUGUCCAAGUCCCUUGGAACAGGGUAUCAAAGAGGGUGACAAUCCCGUACUUGACACGACGACCGGUGCUCUGUGAUACGUUUUCUACGAGUCGAGUUGUUUGGGAAUGCAGCUCAAAAUGGGUGGUAAAUUCCAUCUAAAGCUAAAUAUAGGCGAGAGACCGAUAGCGAACAAGUACCGUGAGGGAAAGAUGAAAAGCACUUUGGAAAGAGAGUUAAACAGUAUGUGAAAUUGUUGAAAGGGAAACGAUUGAAGUCAGUCAUGUCCAUUGGAUUCAGCUGGUUCUGCCAGUGUAUUUCCUUUGGACGGGUCAACAUCAGUUUGAGCCGGCGGAUAAUGGCAGAGGGAAUGUGGCACCCCCGGGUGUGUUAUAGCCCUUUGUCGCAUACGUCGGCCCAGACUGAGGAAUGCAGCUCGCCUUUAUGGCCGGGGUUCGCCCACGUACGAGCUUAGGAUGUUGGCAUAAUGGCUUUAAACGACCC